CAGUGUUACAGCUGUUUUAGAAUUUGUCUAGCAAGCUUUCUGUUUUUUUUCUGGAAAGCCCUU
rnacentral:snRNA from 1 species